rnacentral:lncRNA from 1 species
UGGGAUAGGAUCAAAUGACACCAUGGUGUCAAAAUUAGUUUGACACCAAAUCUUAUCCAUUCAUUUCAUUUAAUCCAAAGGCUUAAAACUAUCACCAAAUUAAUUAACAUACAUCAAAUACUCUCUAUCACCUAAUUAAGAAACAUAUAUAUCAUCAUUAAUUCAUAAUCAAACAAUACCUUCUUGUUUUUGGUAGAUUCAAACCCUUUUUAUUUUCCCCUAAUUUUU